GAUGAACGCUGGCGGCGUGCCUAAUACAUGCAAGUCGAGCGAACGGACGAUAAGCUUGCUUCUCUGAUGUUAGCGGCGGACGUGUGAGUAACACGUGGAUAACCUACCUAUAAGACUGGGAUAACUUCGGGAAACCGGAGCUAAUACCGGAUAAUAUUUUGAACCGCAUGGUCCAAAAGUGAAAGACGGUCUUGCUGUCACUUAUAGAUGGAUCCGCGCUGCAUUAGCUAGUUGGUAAGGUAACGGCUUACCAAGGCAACGAUGCAUAGCCGACCUGAGAGGGUGAUCGGCCACACUGGAACUGAGACACGGCCCAGACUCCUACGGGAGGCAGCAGUAGGGAAUCUUCCGCAAUGGGCGAAAGCCUGACGGAGCAACGCCGCGUGAGUGAUGAAGGUCUUCGGAUCGUAAACCGCUGUUGUUAGGGAAGAACAUAUGUGUAAGUAACUGUGCACCUCUUGACGGUACCUAAUCAGAAAGCCACGGCUAACUACGUG
rnacentral:rRNA from 1 species